CUCGAUGUAGCUUUUGUCGACAUAGUGCAAAAACCGCUUUUUCCUCCAUGUGUUUUCUGCAACAAUAAAAACAACAAAGGAUAUGUCUCCUAACAAUCUCACCAAAUUCAAAUAAAAAUAGAUUAAAUUAAAGAAGAGAAAGAGAUGAUUACCAGCACGAAAAGUAUAUGCUUUGAACGAAUGCAAUCAAAGAAUAUCUCCGAGGAGACUAACAUUACAUUUGCGCUUACAAAUGGAAUCACAUGUCUUGAUCCAGGCCGAAGAUUUGACACACUUGAAGAUGCACUUUCUAAGACAACUCUUCGAUUCUUCUGAAAUUUGUGUUCCAAGAGAGGGCGAUAUUUUAGAAUCGGGAGUGCCUUGUACUUGCGCUAUGAUUACCAAUAACAUAAAAAAAACUACUACUCGAGUUAUUUCGAUCCGUUC
rnacentral:lncRNA from 1 species